rnacentral:rRNA from 1 species
UGGGGAAUAUUGCACAAUGGGCGCAAGCCUGAUGCAGCCAUGCCGCGUGUGUGAAGAAGGCCUUCGGGUUGUAAAGUACUUUCAGUCGGGAGGAAGGUGUCAAGGUUAAUAACCUUGGCAAUUGACGUUACCCGCAGAAGAAGCACCGGCUAACUCCGUGCCAGCAGCCGCGGUAAUACGGAGGGUGCAAGCGUUAAUCGGAAUUACUGGGCGUAAAGCGCACGCAGGCGGUCUGUCAAGUCGGAUGUGAAAUCCCCGGGCUCAACCUGGGAACUGCAUUCGAAACUGGCAGGCUAGAGUCUUGUAGAGGGGGGUAGAAUGCCAGGUGUAGCGGUGAAAUGCGUAGAGAUCUGGAGGAAUACCGGUGGCGAAGGCGGCCCCCUGGACAAAGACUGACGCUCAGGUGCGAAAGCGUGGGGAGCAAACAGG